rnacentral:rRNA from 1 species
AUGAAGGACGUGGUGGCUGAAGGGUUCGAGGCCAUGAGGAUGAGCGGCGCCGCUGGCGGGCGGAGAGUGUGCGUGACGAGGCGGUUGCCGAGAGUGAUGGUGGAGGGGCUCCUGAGGGAUUACCUCGGCGCCGAGGCUGUAGUCGGAAAGGAGAUGAAGGUGCUGUGGGGGUUCUACACUGGACUAAUGGAGGAAGAAGGCGAGGUGGUGUUGGAAGAGGAGAAGAAGAUCAUGGCGGAGGGUGAUGAUGCUCUGGGAUUCUGCGGGUCGUUAGAGUUUCUCUCGCAUCCUAUUCCACGUUCUUGCAAGGUACGUAGUAUAACAUAA